CCGGAUGCUCCGACUCCUCGCAUGGGGUGUCGGGAAAGAUUUCAUCGGUAUGGGAUGGGGUCGCGUCCUAUCAGGUAGUCGGCGGGGUAACGGCCCACCGAGCCUACGACGGGUAGCCGGCCUGAGAGGGCGACCGGCCACAUUGGGAGUGAGAUACGGCCCAGACUCCUACGGGAGGCAGCAGUGGGGAAUAUUGCACAAUGGGCGCAAGCCUGAUGCAGNGACGCCGCGUGCGGGAUGACGGCCUUCGGGUUGUAAACCGCUUUUGAUCGGGAGCAANCCUUCGGGUGAGUGUACCUUUCGAAUAAGCACCGGCUAACUACGUGCCAGCAGCCGCGGUAAUACGUAGGGUGCAAGCGUUAUCCGGAAUUAUUGGGCGUAAAGGGCUCGUAGGCGGUUCGUCNCGUCCGGUGUGAAAGUCCAUCGC
rnacentral:rRNA from 1 species